rnacentral:tRNA from 1 species
UGGCUCAGAGGUUAAAGCAUCUGCCUGCAAUGCAGGAGACCUGGGUUCAAUCCCUUG